rnacentral:lncRNA from 1 species
UCUGUAGUCUCUUAACAAUGCUCCACUAGGAACCAAUGCAGCAGAUGUAGUAGUUACAUAAUGGAACUUUACUGUGCCAGACUAUAGAAACUUGGUUUUGUUACAGGGCUAGGUGUGGGAUCCAGGACUUCCCACCUGUGGCCUGAGCUGUACCACUGAGCCACACACCCAGGUCUAGGGUAUGGUUACUUAUUGAUUGCUGGGCAGUCCCAGACCUGUUUUACAAGUGCAGCAUUUAGCAGUUUAUACUGGCAUUACUGCAAUCACAAGACCUUUCCCAGGCUUCUCUCUUAUGCCUCCUCCUUUUGUGGGAGGGAAUGUCCACAGAACCACACCCAGGGCCUCACACCUGAGACAAGCAUUCUUUCCACCAAUCUGCAGGCCUUCCUCUGUUACAUUUUAAGUAGACUGUCCCAAGAUUGGGAUGACACCUCAUCUCCGUUAUGCCAUCUCUUUCACAUGCUAAAUAUAUGUACUCAACUACCAUGGUGACUCUGAGUUCAAGGCCAGCCUGGUCUGCAGAGCAAGUUCCAGAAAAGCCAAGGAAUCCAGAGAAACGCUGUCUUGAAAACCCAAAACAAGGUUUAUGCAGAGGCAAUCGGUGUUGGUCACGGUG